UAUUUUUCUUGCACUAGAAUAUUGCAAAGGGAAAAUUUAUUUACAAAGCUUGUCAUUUUGAUCUUGUGUAGGCGGCACAACUGUACACCACCAUGAACAGGUUGUUUCAUCGCUACAACUCAUAUAGCAAGCUAUGCCAGUAUGGCAAUAUCUGAUAGUACGGCUGCUCACGUUUCCAGGGGCAACACUCACAUUUCCCCUCCAAAAUUCAACAUUUUCAUAUUUUGAGGAGCUUCAGUACGUUUGCUCACCGAUGAACUAGAAGUUGUUUUGUGUACUGCAUGAUUGAGGAAGUGCUAUUGCAGAUCAAAGUUGGUAGAAGCAUCUUCUGGGAAUCAAGUGUUACAUGGCUGUGGGUGACAAGGUUAGUGGUUUAGGAGUUCCUGCCAACACUGGCUUUUGGAAUUUAUCCUCGCUUCAUCAGUUGGGAUUUCUGUACAAAACUAAGAUAAUUUAUUUUGGUGCUUGCGAUGAGUAUUAGAUAGAGGGGUGAUGCACACAUACUUCACCCAGUGUAUCUGUUCAUGUAUGUUGUUAAUUGACUAAUUAGACAAAAAACCUCUAUCUGUAUGGUGUUUGUGAUGAUGCUAUCAAUUCACCAAACACUAAAAA